GAUGAACGCUGGCGGCGUGCCUAAUACAUGCAAGUCGAGCGAACGGACGAGAAGCUUGCUUCUCUGAUGUUAGUGGCGGACGGGUGAGUAACACGUGGAUAACCUACCUAUAAGACUGGGAUAACUUCGGGAAACCGGAGCUAAUACCGGAUAACAUUUAGAACCGCAUGGUUCAAAAGUGAAAGACGGUCUUGCUGUCACUUAUAGAUGGACCCGCGCUGCAUUAGCUAGUUGGUAAGGUAACGGCUUACCAAGGCAACGAUGCAUAGCCGACCUGAGAGGGUGAUCGGCCACACUGGAACUGAGACACGGUCCAGACUCCUACGGGAGGCAGCAGUAGGGAAUCUUCCGCAAUGGGCGAAAGCCUGACGGAGCAACGCCGCGUGAGUGAUGAAGGUCUUCGGAUCGUAAAACUCUGUUAUUAGGGAAGAACAUAUGUGUAAGUAACUGUGCACAUCUUGACGGUACCUAAUCAGAAAGCCACGGCUAACUACGUG
rnacentral:rRNA from 1 species